UACGAAGGGGGCUAGCGUUGCUCGGAAUUACUGGGCGUAAAGGGCGCGUAGGCGGGUCGUUUAGUUAGAGGUGAAAGCCCAGGGCUCAACCCUGGAACUGCCUUUAAUACUGGCGGCCUAGAGUAUGACAGAGGUGUGUGGAACUCCGAGUGUAGAGGUGAAAUUCGUAGAUAUCGGAAGAACACCAGUGGCGAAGGCGACACACUGGGUCAUUACUGACGCUGAGGCGCGAAAGCGUGGGGAGCAAACAGG
rnacentral:rRNA from 1 species